CACCAGACUCCUACGGGAGGCAGCAGUGAGGGAUAUUGGUCAAUGGGGGAAACCCUGAACCAGCAACGCCGCGUGAGGGAAGACGGUUUUCGGAUUGUAAACCUCUGUCCUCUGUGAAGAUAAUGACGGUAGCAGAGGAGGAAGCUCCGGCUAACUACGUGCCAGCAGCCGCGGUAAUACGUAGGGAGCGAGCGUUGUCCGGAUUUACUGGGUGUAAAGGGUGCGUAGGCGGCCCUGCAAGUCAGAAGUGAAAUCCAUGGGCUUAACCCGUGAACUGCUUUUGAAACUGCAGGACUUGAGUGGAGUAGAGGUAGGCGGAAUUCCCGGUGUAGCGGUGAAAUGCGUAGAGAUCGGGAGGAACACCAGUGGCGAAGGCGGCCUGCUGGGCUUUUACUGACGCUGAGGCUCGAAAGUGUGGGGAGCAAACAGGAUUAGAUACCCUCGUAAC
rnacentral:rRNA from 1 species